AUAUAUAUAUCAACCUCUCUUGUUGAGUGGUUUGGAUGUGGGGGGAUUUUUGCUGGCCUGUUCAGCUCCUCUGAAAUGCAUUAGCAGAACAACCUGUUCAUUGGUGUGAUAACUAUCUACGCUAUUGAAUGUGAGGUGCAGUUCAGCUUUCUAACAGUCUUUGGACAGUUUGUUUAUCAUUUAU
rnacentral:misc_RNA from 1 species